UUCUUCAAGGAGUAAGCACUCACCAAGCCCAUCGAAGAAGCCUCACCAAGGUGUGGUAUGAGACUGAGAGGCAGGGAUGGUAAACUUCCUCCUCCUUUUUUCUGGGUGCACCUGCAUGAAGCUUUUGUCCUAUUUCAGUGCAGCUGGGCACCUGAAUCCAGCUAACCCCAUCCCACGCGGACCUAACACACUAGCACAGGUAGAAACAGAACGUAAUUUGAGAAAGUGCUCUUUUCUGUCUCCUGUCUAAAUGUUGAUUCUUCAUGAAAAAAGAUUCUAAAUCAUCCUAUGCCUGAGAUGCUUGUGUGUGAAUUUGGGUGAAUGUGUAAGAUAUGUAAAGCCAAGGCUAAGGUGACGGCGUUCACAAUCCAAGUCUUGGUAUGCUGUUGCAAUCUGAUCUCAGCAUAUAUUGUGCGAGAUAAUUGGUGUAGCUUGGCUUCACAUCUAGUGUUAGGCUGAGCAGAAAGAUGAAGAUACUGAGCAAAUGAAGGUAAAGCCAAGAAGAUUUCUGUUAAUGUCACUGGAAGUACAUUUGUGCAUAGAAUGACCAUGCAAAUGUGAUGUUUCUCUCUGUCAAUCAUUUACUCUUAUUCUUUCUAGGCAUUAGAAUUUUGUCUUUUGUUUCUUGUGAUUCAUGAGAAAAAUAUCUGUCAUCAAACAGUUUACAAUUACUGGACAAUGUUCUCGUCACUGUCAUCUGGGACAUGGGAGAUUACUCCUGUUGUGGACAGAGAUGACUGAAAAGUCUUUUAACAUUGUUUGAUCUGUCUCUCCCAAAGGUAGAGUGAGUUCUUUUAACUGUACUACUAUAUAUAAGCAUAUAUUCAGAGAGCAGUAGAAGAAGGAGUAAGGAAACAACUGCUAGAGAAAACAAAUAGGAAGAAAAGUGGAUGAUGCCCGCUUUGAGUAGUUCUACAGUGGGGAGAAUGAGUCCUAAGACACUAAGGAGUUUAAACCUACUCUGCGUUAUUUCUGGGCUCACUGCAAAGCCCAUUUACAGCAGAGACUUUACAUCAACUAUAACACAGUUCAGACUGGAUUUUCAGUUAAAGGAUUAUGUAUGGAAGUGUGAGAUGUUGAUCUUGUCAAUAAAAUCUCACAACCUCUGUGUGCAGCAGAGCAUGACUUUGGAUAUCAUCAGCAAAGAAUGUGUGCUUCUCCCAAGAGGUGAUUUGCUUUCCCACCAUGAAAAUGCAAUGUUGGUAGUAGAAAAUGGAAACUGUGAAAAAUUACCAAGAAUACAGGUGCAUUGCAAUAAAACCUCAGCAAACAGAUGGGAGUUUUAAAAAUCCUGAUGUUAAUGACACUCUUUGUUUCUUUUCAUCUGCCAGAGCAUCCUUGUGGCGCACCUUUUUAGUUCUAUUGCAAAUUUUUAACCACUUCUAAUUAAGAUUAGAUUGAAUCCCACCAGUUGUAAGUAAAUCCUCAAGCUCACUGUCCAAGUGAACUCCAUGAAGAUGCCAAAACUUCUAGUGGUUAGGAUUAAUCUA